AGGAUGAACGCUGGCGGCGUGCCUAAUACAUGCAAGUCGAGCGGUAAGGUUCUCACUCUGUACUCAAUGAAUUUGAGUGUGGUGUGAGAAUACACGAGCGGCGGACGGCUGAGUAACACGUAGGAACGUACCCCAAACUGAAGGAUAAGCACCAGAAAUGGUGUCUAAUACCGCAUGUGGUCUUCGGAUUAAAGCUUCGGCGGUUUGGGAACGGCCUGCGCAUGAUUAGCUUGUUGGUGAGGUAAUAGCUCACCAAGGCGACGAUCAUUAGCUGGUCUGAGAGGAUGAUCAGCCAGACUGGGACUGAGAACGGCCCAGACUCUACGGGAGCAGCAGUAGGAAUUUCCACAAUGGCGAAGCCUGAUGGAGCAACGCCGCGUGCGAGGAUGAAGGUCGUUUCGGUACGUUAAACUGUCUUUUAUGUGUGAAGUAUUAGUAGUACGGUAGCACAAGUAGAAAGUAAGGAUCGGACUAAC
rnacentral:rRNA from 1 species